rnacentral:rRNA from 1 species
CCUACGGGGGGCUGCAGUGGGGAAUAUUGCGCAAUGGGCGAAAGCCUGACGCAGCGCCGCCGCGUGAGGGAUGAAGGUCUUCGGAUCGUAAACCUCUAUCCGCAGGGAAGAACGGACACUGUGCUAAUCAGCAGUGCAUUGACGGUACCUGCCAAGGAAGCACCGGCUAACUCCGUGCCAGCAGCAGCGGUAAUACGGAGGGUGCGAGCGUUAAUCGGAAUUACUGGGCGUAAAGCGCUCGAAGGCGGUAGGUCAAGUCAAGGGUGAAAUCCCCGGGCUCAACGGGGGAACUGCCUUUGAAACUGGGAAACUGGAGUGUGUGAGAGGAUAGUGGAAUUCCAGGUGUAGGAGUGAAAUCCGUAGAUAUCUGGAGGAACAUCAGUGGCGAAGGCGACUAUCUGGCACAAAACUGACGCUGAGGAGCGAAAGCGUGGGUAGCAAACAGGAUUAGAUACCCUGGUAGUC